UACGGGGGGGCAAGCGUUGUUCGGAAUUACUGGGCGUAAAGAGCUCGUAGGUGGUUUGUCGCGUUGUCCGUGAAAACUCACAACUCAAUUGUGGGCGUGCGGGCGAUACGGGCAGACUGGAGUACUGCAGGGGAGACUGGAAUUCCUGGUGUAGCGGUGGAAUGCGCAGAUAUCAGGAGGAACACCGGUGGCGAAGGCGGGUCUCUGGGCAGUAACUGACGCUGAGGAGCGAAGGCCAGGGGAGCAAACGGG
rnacentral:rRNA from 1 species